rfam:Ipomoea nil DNA, scaffold: scaffold1735, cultivar: Tokyo-kokei standard.
GGUUCCAUGGUCUAGUGGUUAGGACAUUGGGCUCUGAAUCCAGUAACCCGAGUUCAAAUCUCGGUGGAACCU